rnacentral:rRNA from 1 species
UAGUCCACGCCGUAAACGAUGAUUACUAAGUGUUCGGUCUUCGGACUGAGUGCUCAAGCGAAAGCGAUAAGUAAUCCACCUGGGGAGUACGUCGGCAACGAUGAAACUCAAAGGAAUUGACGGGGGCCCGCACAAGCGGUGGAGCAUGUGGUUUAAUUCGAUGAUACGCGAGGAACCUUACCUGGGCUACAAUGCCUCUGCCAACUGCCGAAAGGUGGCUUUCCUACGGGACAGAGUGCAAGGUGCUGCAUGGUUGUCGUCAGCUCGUGCCGUGAGGUGUUGGGUUAAGUCCUAUAACGAGCGCAACCCCUGUUGUUAGUUGCCAGCAUGUAAAGAUGGGAACUCUAACAAGACUGCCGGUGCAAACCGUGAGGAAGGUGGGGAUGACGUCAAAUCAUCACGGCCCUUACGUCCUGGGCUACACACGUGCUACAAUGGUAGGGACAGAGAGCAGCCACUGGGCGACCAGGAGCGAAUCUAUAAAACCUAUCACAGUUCGGAUCGG